rnacentral:rRNA from 1 species
AGUGAACGCUGGCGGUAGGCCUAACACAUGCAAGUCGAACGGCAGCACAGUAAGAGCUUGCUCUUACGGGUGGCGAGUGGCGGACGGGUGAGGAAUACAUCGGAAUCUACUUUUUCGUGGGGGAUAACGUAGGGAAACUUACGCUAAUACCGCAUACGACCUACGGGUGAAAGCAGGGGAUCUUCGGAUCUUGCGCGAUUGAAUGAGCCGAUGUCGGAUUAGCUAGUUGGCGGGGUAAAGGCCCACCAAGGCGACGAUCCGUAGCUGGUCUGAGAGGAUGAUCAGCCACACUGGAACUGAGACACGGUCCAGACUCCUACGGGAGGCAGCAGUGGGGAAUAUUGGACAAUGGGCGCAAGCCUGAUCCAGCCAUGCCGCGUGGGUGAAGAAGGCCUUCGGGUUGUAAAGCCCUUUUGUUGGGAAAGAAAAGCAGCAGGUUAAUACCCCGCUGUUCUGACGGUACCCAAAGAAUAAGCACCGGCUAACUUCGUG